GACAUGUUGCCAAUCAGACCGAGUGCCAAAAACUUGAGCAAGCUGCAGGCCAAAACUACUAUUCGCAGAAUGGUACAUAGGGCGGUAGUAUCGCAGACUCAAAACGGAGUGCUAUUUAACUAAAAGCUAAAAAGCACCAACAGAAGCCAGUCGGCAAACUAAAACUCCCCUUCGCCAGAGACCGUUUUUCUUGCCUAUGCUCACAAAUGCAUCUGUCUUGCCCAAAAACCCGCAGACAUGCAGGGAAAAGGGAGAUGCAGGAUCCAAAAACUAAUCACCAAUUAGGGAUGGCAUAGAAGAUGAAUGCUAUUCAGUUAUUCAAUUUAAGCUGUAAAGAUUCUUUACGGGGAUAUGGACACUAAUAUCAGCAUAAUCUUCAAAGCUAACAAUUUUUUGAUUAGCUACGCAAACUCGGUUACUAAUGUACUUACAAUCACGCUCACAUCUCCAACUCAUUCGCACUCCAGCUCGCAGAUAACGUGGCCAAAAAAAAAAUAGCCCAGGCAAAAGAAAACCAGCAUAGAAAGACCAGCAUAGACCAAAGGAUAGGAGAGCGAAAAAAGGAGACUGGAAGAAAUUCGCAUUUGUCUUCAAUUACAUUGAAAUGUCACUCCCUACCUUCAUUCCUACAUUCU